ACGGGUGAGUAAUAUGUAGGAAUCUACCUAGAGGUAGGGGAUAACUUAGGGAAACUUAAGCUAAUACCAUAUAAGCCCCAAGGGGGAAAGCAGGGGAUCGAAAGACCUUGUGCCUUAUGAUGAGCCUACAUCGGAUUAGCUUGUUGGUGGGGUAAAGGCCCACCAAGGCGACGAUCCGUAGCUGGUCUGAGAGGAUGAUCAGCCACACUGGGACUGAGACACGGCCCAGACUCCUACGGGAGGCAGCAGUGGGGAAUAUUGGACAAUGGGGGCAACCCUGAUCCAGCAAUGCCGCGUGUGUGAAGAAGGCCUUCGGGUUGUAAAGCACUUUCAGUGGGGAGGAAGUUAAUUUUGUUAAUACCAGAGUUAAUUGACGUUACCCACAGAAGAAGCACCGGCUAACUCUGUGCCAGCAGCCGCGGUAAUACAGAGGGUGCGAGCGUUAAUCGGAAUUACUGGGCGUAAAGGGUGUGUAGGUGGUUAGGUAAGUUAGAUGUGAAAUCCCCGGGCUCAACCUGGGAACUGCGUUUAAAACUGCUUAGCUAGAGUAUUGCAGAGGAUAGUGGAAUUUCCAGU
rnacentral:rRNA from 1 species